GGCUGCUGUGGUUUCAAGAUGGAGACUAAUUAUCACCUAUGGUUGUUGUCUUUGGACUACUGAUGUCGUUGUUGAACAAAAACCUUUGAGAAGGAAUUGUUUCCAUCACUGCAGAUAACCAGAAGUGGGAGUUGUCAUUCGCUUUAGAAUGUUGAUUACGUAGAAUGUGUAGCGCCAUUUGGUUGUGGGGAGAUGAGUGGCUAGUGUCAAGCACACUUAUAGGGAGGUCAGCAAAUGCAAAUUAACAGAUGGUAUUCCCUACUGGGUAAUGUUGAGCGCCCAUUUGGAAAAACGAAAGCACUGUCCAGGGUUAGAACUUCACUCGGCAAUCUACGUGAGAAAGAAUUCUUGGAUAUUGAACAAGAUGCAGGUAAGACGCAAAUUGAUUUACUUUGAUGGUUUCCUUCCAGAAGUGAUGCAGAAUUUGUGUCUGCUUGGUCGUAUUAAUCCAAAAAGUCACUGGAGUUAUGGAAGUUAAAUGGGGCAGUUGCUGUUCAAUUGAAAAUGGAGCUUCAAA